rnacentral:tRNA from 1 species
AUUACUUUGGCAGAAUAGUGCGUUAAAUUUAGAAUUUAUUUAUGUAUUUAAGUGAUACAAGUAAUA